AUUGAACGCUGGCGGCAGGCUUAACACAUGCAAGUCGAGCGGGGUGAUGGUGCUUGCACUAUCACUUAGCGGCGGACGGGUGAGUAAUGCUUAGGAAUCUGCCUAUUAGUGGGGGACAACAUCUCGAAAGGGAUGCUAAUACCGCAUACGUCCUACGGGAGAAAGCAGGGGAUCACUUGUGACCUUGCGCUAAUAGAUGAGCCUAAGUCGGAUUAGCUAGUUGGUGGGGUAAAGGCCUACCAAGGCGACGAUCUGUAGCGGGUCUGAGAGGAUGAUCCGCCACCCUGGGACUGCGACACGGCCCAGACUCCGACGGGAGGCAGCAGUGGGGAAUAUUGGACAAUGGGGGGAACCCUGAUCCAGCCAUGCCGCGUGUGUGAAGAAGGCCUUAUGGUUGUAAAGCACUUUAAGCGAGGAGGAGGCUCUUUUGGUUAAUACCCAAGAUGAGUGGACGUUACUCGCAGAAUAAGCGCCGGCUAACUCUGUGCCAGCCGCCGCCGUAA
rnacentral:rRNA from 1 species